rnacentral:lncRNA from 1 species
UGGGGCGGGACACGGGUGCGGACUGGCGCGCAGGGCCAAGGGGCGGGCUUUGGACGGCGCGGUUGCUAUGACGGCCAGCGCCGGGCCCCUCCCGCCCGGGCGCCGCCAUCUUGUUGUUGAUUCGGGCGGCGGGGAGCGGCGGCGCUGGGGCUCCGUGUUCCGGUGUCCCGGCCGGGCAGGCAGCGCCGGCCCCGGAGCUGCGCGCAGGAAGGAGCUCGGAACCCGCGGCGGUAACAUGAAACCAACAUGGCUGACUUGCUUCUGGGGUCCUGCUCCCUCUUGA